rnacentral:rRNA from 1 species
ACACGACUACAUUAGAUACCCGGGUAGUCCUAGCCGUAAACGAUACUCGCUAGGUGUCGGCCACGGUGCGACCGUUGUCGGUGCCGUAGGGAAGCCGUGAAGCGAGCCACCUGGGAAGUACGGCCGCAAGGCUGAAACUUAAGGAAUUGGCGGGGAGCACAACAACGGGUGGAGCUUGCGGUUUAAUUGGAUUCAACGCCGGAAAUCUUACCGGGACCGACAGCAACAUGAAGGCCAAGCUGAAGACUUUGCCGGAUUAGCUG